UGAAUGUUUACGAGUAGAGUUGAAGCGG
rnacentral:piRNA from 1 species